rnacentral:lncRNA from 1 species
CUUUGAUUUUAACAAUAAAUAAUAAAACAAAAUUGAAUAAACAUUAUAAGAGAAAAAAAACCCUGCUUGUUUAGAAGUGUUUUGAAACUUGAAUUAUCUAAAUAAACUGUGUUGCUUCUAAUUUCAGAUGGUUUUUUUCUCCUUGUGUUCUUGAAAAAUGAGAAAAAGACUAGCUGAAGUGGUAUAUACCUGUAAAAUCCCAGCUACUCUGGAGGCUGAGGCAGGAGGAUUGCAAGUUUAAGGCCAGCCUAGGCAACUUAGGCCCUGUCUCAAAAAGUAAAAAGUGCUGCAGAUGUACAUAGCUCAGUGGGAGAGUGCACCUGUGUUUAAUCUCCAGGGCCGAAGGAAGGAAAACGAGAAAAAUAUGAAUAGUCCUUGGUUCACACAGUCAUUAUAUGUAAAACAAGCCACAAAGAAUUGCUUUCAUCAGGUAAGGAAAUAAAGUUCCAGAGUACUCCUUCCACACUCUAUCUGCCUUUGCUUUAUCCUGCUUCCUCCUUUCCUCUCACAUUUUUUUUUUCUUUUGUGGUAGUUCUGGGGAUCAAAUCCAAGGGCAAUCUACCACUGAGCUACAUCCGCACCCUUUUUAUUUUUUAUUUUGAGACAGGGUCUCUUGUUAAGUUGUUCAAGUGUGACAGAUUUUCAAUCCUCCUGCCUCAGCCUCUCAAAGAGCUGCAAUUAUAGGUGUCCCCUCAUUCUUAAAAAUGUCAUUACUGCCUGGAGUUUUAUAUGACAAGCCAAAGACCUUAGGUAGUUCUCAUUCCAGUCAAGCAAGAGAGCAAUAGACAUAUAAAUAAAUAAUCUCACAUCAGGAAAAGUGAUACACUGAAGAAGAAACUAAGAACAAAUUACAGAUAUUCCUCAUUUAACAACCUACCUGUUUAUAAAGACUGUUCAGAUUUAUGCUUCACCACUUGGACUUGUCGCCCAUCUCUUUUUUUUUUAAGUACACUUCUGAAUAUCUUGUUUAGAGCCUCAGUGUCUUUUUUGUACAGUACAC